rnacentral:misc_RNA from 1 species
AGCAGCCGCGGUAAUUCCAGCUCCAAUAGCGUAUAUUAAAGUUGUUGCAGUUAAAAAGCUCGUAGUUGAAUUUCGGGAUUAAUAUGUUGGUCGUGCCUUGGUACGUACUGGCAUUAUUGAUUCCUACCUUCUGAAGAACCUCGAUGUCAUUAAUUUGGUGUCUUGGGGAAUCAGGACCGUUACUUUGAAAAAUUAGAGUGUUUAAAGCAGGCUCGCGCUUGAAUACAUUAGCAUGGAAUAAUGAAAUAGGACGUUUGAUUCUAUUUUGUUGGUUUCUAGGAUCGACGUAAUGAUUAAUAGGGAUAGUUGGGGGCAUUAGUAUUCAAUUGUCAGAGGUGAAAUUCUUGGAUUUAUUGAAGACUGACUACUGCGAAAGCAUUUGCCAAGGAUGUUUUCAUUAAUCAAGAACGAAAGUUAGGGGAUCGAAGACGAUCAGAUACCGUCGUAGUCUUAACCAUAAACUAUGCCGACUAGGGAUCGGAUGAUGUUAAUUUUUAAUGUACUCAUUCGGCGCCUUACG